AUUGAACGCUGGCGGAAUGCUUUACACAUGCAAGUCGAACGGCAGCACGGGGCAACCUGGUGGCGAGUGGCGAACGGGCGAGUAAUACAUCGGAACGUGCCCAAUCGUGGGGGAUAACGUAGCGAAAGUUACGCUAAUACCGCAUACGAUCUAUGGAUGAAAGCGGGGGAUCGCAAGACCUCGCGCGAAUGGAGCGGCCGAUGUCAGAUUAGGUAGUUGGUGGGGUAAAGGCUCACCAAGCCAACGAUCUGUAGCUGGUCUGAGAGGACGACCAGCCACACUGGGACUGAGACACGGCCCAGACUCCUACGGGAGGCAGCAGUGGGGAAUUUUGGACAAUGGGCGCAAGCCUGAUCCAGCCAUUCCGCGUGCAGGAUGAAGGCCUUCGGGUUGUAAACUGCUUUUGUACGGAACGAAACGGUUCUCUCUAAUACAGGGGGCUAAUGACGGUACCGUAAGAAUAAGCACCGGCUAACUACGUGCCAGCCGCCGCAGUAAAAC
rnacentral:rRNA from 1 species